GUGGGGAAUAUUGGGCAAUGGGGGAAACCCUGACCCAGCGACGCCGCGUGAGCGAUGAAGUAUUUCGGUACGUAAAGCUCUAUCAGCAGGGAAGAUAAUGACGGUACCUGACUAAGAAGCACCGGCUAAAUACGUGCCAGCAGCCGCGGUAAUACGUAUGGUGCAAGCGUUAUCCGGAUUUACUGGGUGUAAAGGGAGCGUAGGCGGCGUGGUAAGUCAGAAGUGAAAGCCCGGGGCUCAACCCCGGGACUGCUUUUGAAACUAUCGUGCUAGAGUGUCGGAGAGGUAAGUGGAAUUCCUAGUGUAGCGGUGAAAUGCGUAGAUAUUAGGAGGAACACCAGUGGCGAAGGCGGCUUACUGGACGAUAACUGACGCUGAGGCUCGAAAGCGUGGGGAGCAAACAGGAUUAGAAACCCUAGUAGUCC
rnacentral:rRNA from 1 species